rnacentral:rRNA from 1 species
GAUGAACGCUGACAGAAUGCUUAACACAUGCAAGUCGAUGGGGAAGUGAUGCUUGCACCAUGGUAACCAUGGCGGACGGGUGAGUAACGCGUAAGGAACUUGCCUGCGGGACUGGGAUAACAGCAGGAAACUGCUGAUAAUACCGGAUAAGGUCAUUAAGCUGCAUAGCUUAGUGAUGAAAGGAGACGCCUGCGGAGAGCCUUGCGUCCUAUUAGCUAGUUGGAGGGGUAACGGCCCACCAAGGCGAAGAUAGGUAGCCGGCCUGAGAGGGUGGACGGCCACAAGGGGACUGAGAUACGGCCCUUACUCCUACGGGAGGCAGCAGUGGGGAAUAUUGGACAAUGGGGGCAACCCUGAUCCAGCAAUUCUGUGUGCACGAAGACGGUUUUCGGAUUGUAAAGUGCUUUCAGCAGGGAAGAAGGAAGUGACGGUACCUGCAGAAGAAGCGACGGCUAAAUACGUG